rnacentral:misc_RNA from 1 species
GAUUUCUCUAGAAGCUUCUUUUCAUUCUUCCGACCACAAUUUCCGAUUUCAAUUGCUCUUUUCGCACGAGCAUGAGUCAGUCUACACAAAUCGUCAAAUUCCUCUACAGUUACGGCGGUAGAAUCCUUCCUCGUCCCUCCGACGGCACACUCCGUUACAUCGGCGGUUUUACUAGAGUCCUUUCCGUUGAUAGAUCUAUUUCAUUUGCAGAGUUGAUGGUGAAGUUUGGAG